CAUAAAACAUCAGAAUUCACAUGGGGGAGAAACCUUAUGAAUGGAAUGAAUGUUGGAAAACUCUGCCAAAAUCACACAAUAUAACAUCAGAGAAUUUAUUACAUGGUGGAAAUCUUGUAAUAAAUGUGGGAAAGCCUUUUGUCAGAAGGAAUACCUCAUAACAUGUAGAUCAAACAGGGGAGAGAACUUAAGAAUAUAGUAAAUAUGAAGGACUUUUUGCAAAAGCAACAUAACCAUGUGACAGAGCCUUUUGCUGGAAAUUACAUCCCAUACAAUAGGCACUCCCAUAAGGAAGAAAGGUUGGGACCAGCGCUGUGGCACAGUAGGUUAAAGCCCUGGCCUGAAAUGCUGGCAUACCAUGUGGGCACUGGUUCUAGUCCCAGUUGCUCCUCUUCUGAUCCAGCUCUCUGCUAUGGCCUGGGAAAGCAGUAGAAGAUGGCCCUGCACCCACAUGGGAGACCCAGAAGAAGCUCCUGACUCCUGGCUUUGGAUCGCUGCAGCUCCAGCCAUUGCAUCCAUCUGGGGAGUGAAGUAGCAGAUGGAAGACCUCUUUCUGCUUCUCUGUCUCUCUAACUCUGUCUUUCAAAUAAAAAAAUUAAAUUGUUAAAAAAAGAAGUUCAGAAAUAUUAUUAGUGUGACAAAAAGCCAUUUGUCAGAAAUGGCAUUAUACAUCAGAAAAUUCACCCAAGGUGUUUCUUAGCAGUGUAAUGAAUGUGGAAGUAUAUUUUCAUAGAAUUCAGGCUUGCAUAAAUAUGCAACUCAAAAAAGGUGAUAUCCUUCAAGUGCAACAGACCUCAAAAAACCAUAGCCAGAAAUUAAACAUCAGGCUGGCACCAUGGAGCAAUAGGUUAAUCCUCCACCUUCUAUGCUGGCAUCCAUAUAGGUGCCAGUUCUAGUCCCAGCUGCCCGUCUUCAAUCCAGCUCUUUACUGUGGCCUGGGAAAGCAGUAGAAGACAGCCCAAGUGCUUGGGCCUCUGCACCCACAUGGAAGACCAGGAAGAAGCACCUGGCUCCUGGUUUCAGAUCAGUGCAGCUCUGGCCACUGUGGCCAUUUGAGGAGUGAAACAACAGAAGGAAGACCUUUAUCUCUGUCCCUCUCACUGUCUGUAACUCUACCUGUCAAAUAAAUAAAAAUAUUAAAAAAAAAACAAGAAAUUAAACAUCAACUAACAUCAGAGAAUUCAUACAGUAAAAUGUCAAUUUAAUGAAUGUGAAAAAAUUUUUCUGCCAUUAAUCAAUUCACAUGAAGAGACUCCAAAAUGAGAAAACAUAUGUGCAUAGAAAAGUCAUGUACCAUGGCCAUGGUGAUUUCACUUUUAUUGUAAGAUCAUCAUCACCCCCAACAUUCUUUAAGUUGCCCUGGAAACUGUGAGGUACACAGUGUCUCAGGGCCAUUUUAGCCAAGAGUAAUAAUUCUUUCUCCUCAAUGUAAUAUAUAUAUAUAUGAAUAUAUGUAACAUAUAUAACAUAUAUAUAUUUUAUACAUAGAUAAAUUUGCCACUGUGUGUCUAGAUACUAGUAUAUUUCCUGAAAAUUAUGCGGGAAAAUAGUGGGAUCUUAAUGUGAUUUUUAUCCCAGAAUUAGGUAUGUUUAUUUAAUUUUAGAGGUUGGUAGACUUGGAGACACAGAGAAACAGAGAUUAUGAGCUACAACUUGGUGGCUUACUCUUCAUUCUUGUAAUGAUCAGAAACUGGAUUAUUACAGAAAGCUGAGCUAUUCUUUUCUGAUGAUAAAUACAUUAUAAAAAUUUCAAAAGGUUGCUCUAUAUAUUUAUAUUACAAAUUAUAUAUAUGUACAUUUAUAUUGUAAUGUCAUAAAGUAAACACACACACAUAUAUAUUAUAUAUAUAAACACCUUUAAAAUUCUCCUUGUUAUUGGUAUAAAUAUUUUGAAUUUUAAAUAUUUACUUCCUUUUAAAAUUUUAUUUAAUAUAAGUUUGAUAUAUUUCAUAUAUACAGACUAAUGAAUGUAAGUGACACUUCCCCUGAUACCCUCCCUCCCACACACAGUCCAACCCUUUCUCCUCUUCCCUCUCACAUUCCCACUUAACUUUUACAAAAUCUGUUUUCAGUUUACUUAAUGAUUGUAUAGUUAACCCUACACUAAGUAAGAGUUCAACAAGUCAUCAAAUAGUAUGAAGAAAAAAAAUGAAUUUAAAAAACUCACUGUUACUCAAUGGAAGAGACAAGGACUCUAAACAAUCAUCAAAUCUCAAAAUGUGUAUCUAACUCCAAUACAUUACAUUUUAGGUACUCUAUUAGCUACCUCAGAUCAGGGAAAAUAUAGGAUAUCUGUCUUUUGGAGACUUGUUUAUUUUACUAAGUAUAAUGGUUUCCAGCUUCAUCUAUCUUGUUGCAAAAGACAGGGUUUCUUUUUCUUUCUUUCUUUUUUAAUAACUGAGUAGUACGCCAUAGUGUGUAUAUACCAUAAUUUUCUUAUCAAGUCAACAAUUGAUAUCUGGAUUGUUCCCAGAUCUCAGCUAUUGUGAAUUGUGCUGCAAUGAACAUGGGGUUAUAGAUAACUCUUGCAUAUGCUAAUUUUGUUUGGGUAAAUUCCAUGGAGUGGGAUGGCUAGAUCAAAUGGUAGGCCUAUAAUCAGAUUUGUAAGAUAUCUCCAUACAGUUUUUCACAGUGGCUUGCAUCAGUUUACAUUCCCACUAGCAGUGGACCAGCAUAACUUUUUUCCACAUCCUCAUCAGCUUUGUCAUUUGUUGAUUUUUUUUUUUUUUGACAGGCAGAGUUAGGCAGUGAGAGAGAGAGAGACAGAGACAGAGAGAAAGUCUUCCUUCCAUUGGUUCAGCCCCCAAAUGGCCACUACGGCUGGUGCACUGCAGCCAGCAUGCUGCGCUGAUCUGAAACCAGGAGCCAGGUGCUUCCUCCUGGUCUCCCAUGCGGGUGCUAUUCUUUCUUCCCUAGUUCUGACUCUUAAAACUGUUCCAAAUUAUGGGAUUUGAUUCAAUGCACCAGGUCUUAAAUUUAAGGUUUUAUUUCUGACUUUUGAACAACCAAAGGGACAGAUUCUGUGUUAUUUUAAAGUAAUCUACUAUGUUCUCUUAAUGCCUCUUAAGUUCUAAUUGUUUAAAACAACUGAGUUUUAAAGGAGUUAUGAUUUGAUCAAAUCUGACCCUUGGGCUAGAUGGUGAAAGUGACAUCUUAAGUUUUAACAUAUUUAUAUAUAUAUAUAUAUAUAUAUGAUUAAGUUUAAAAGUGACUGUAUUUGAUUGCAUUAAGUUUUAAGUUGAUCAUGUAGGAGGCACUGUUAAAGUGAUCAUAUCAACAGAAUUAAAGAGUAGUAAAUGCUUGAACAUGGGAAGCAGUCCAUACAGCAGACUCAUAGAAUGGCAAUUGCUCUAAGUAAUGCUCAAUGACCUCAGAGUCAUCCCUAAAGGCAUUCUGGUCUGGCUAAAAAGCCCACAAGAGCAUUUCAGGCAUGGAAAGUCAGGACACUUGUGCAAAAAGGUGUGCCUACAUGGAGAGUCUCCCUGGGUGAGACUCCUGUGGAAAGAAGUGGUCAUCAAAGAAGGAUGUACUCUCUUCAAAGGGAGAACUUUCACUUUGCUUAUGGCCUUCUCUAAAUAUUGAUGGAUUUUGUAGAUUCAGAAGGCUUCCAUAGCCUAGACAGUUCAUGUCAAGAGCCUUGGGUGAUCACUGACAGCACACAAAAGAGUGUGAAUUGUGAAAUUAACCACAGGAGUCACUGUGCAUUAACUUCCCAUGCAGGACCAUAAGACUAUGCUUAAAAAACAGAGGGGAGAGUACGGUACCCCCACUAUGAGUGUAUUAACUUUGCUCCUUUCACCGUAAAGUUCUUACAGGUCUCACCCCCUGGAGAGCCACCAGCAGUGAGACACUGGAGACCUUUCACAGAGAUCACUCUGCAGCCUGUGUGGAUAGCAACCUGAAAUGCCAAACCCUGGACCCAGUCUCUGAAAGCUGACCCUCUACAAACCAACUUCAGCACCUUUCCCUGAACAAGCCAUUCAUAGAAAGAUCCUCUUCAGAUGGGCUACAGCUUAAAUGGAAGGGACCUUACCAGGUGCUACUGAACAUGACUACCUCAGUAAAAUUAGGAUUAAUGUCUACCUCUCAAGUCCUCACAGGUGUACUCAAAAGAUAUGCCUGAUUAUUCCUGUAAGCCAGAGAUCUUAAGCAAAAAGAAAAGUAAAGCCUUUGCUUUCCUCACAUCAAGAGUGCUGCUCCUGAAGGCAGGCAUGGUGUACCUGCCUCUUUGAUUCUCUCUGUUAUCAACAAUAAAACUCCUAAUGUGUUCUUCUAAUAUAA